rnacentral:rRNA from 1 species
UACGUAGGUGGCAAGCGUUGUCCGGAUUUACUGGGCGUAAAGAGCGCGCAGGCGGUCGUUCAAGUCGAGUGUGAAAGCCCCCGGCUCAACUGGGGAGGGUCACUCGAUACUGAUCGACUCGAAGGCAGAAGAGGGAAGCGGAAUUCCCGGUGUAGUGGUGAAAUGCGUAGAUAUCGUAAGGAAGACCAGUGGCGAAGGCGGAUCUCUGGACAGUUACUGACACUGAGGCACGAAGGCCAGGGGAGCAAACGGG